rnacentral:lncRNA from 1 species
GGUUGGUUCACCAAACAGUUUAAGAAAAAGUUUAUAUUUUGGUUUUAUUAGUUGAAAUAUCAAUAUUUGCUUUGUGGUACAGGAAUGAGUACAAUACUGGUAAGUGAGAUACACCCAAAUAGAUUCAACCUUGAAAAAAACCUUAGAGCCAGAUCUAUAAAAAAAUUAAAAGCAUAAAUAAAACAAGCAUUGUAUUUGUAAAUGAAACACAUAUUUCAAAAAUAAAAAUAAAAAAUUGAAACAAUAAAGGACUGACAAAAUACUUAUUACAAAAUGAAAUAUUAAAUAGUACUUUUUUAAACAUGUUUUAAAACAUGUCAAUGUUAAAAGAAUAUAUAAACUUGUCUCACCCGGAUAACAAAUAACAAGAGUGCACACACUGAAAUGUCUCACCUUCUUUACUGAUGAUUGAUAUUAUGUUGAAAAUGGGGUCAAGGUCAUAUUAAACCUGUCAGACUGACUUGUUCAUCGUAAAUUACUUCUAUAUGCCAAAUAAAGUUGACCUAUUGCAUAUAUUAGAAUAAAAAGGGACCAAAAAACAAAAAAAACUAACUAUAAAUGCUGAACCAUGAAAAUGAGGUCAAGGUCAGAUGCAGACUUGGGGUAAUUGUAAUUGUAAUCGUUAAUCAGCUGUAAUUGAUUACAAUUUUUCAAGUAAUCAGUGUAAUCAUUAAUCAGCCAAAAAUCUGAUUACAUGUAAUUUAAUUUAAUCAAUUACUUUUCAAAAUACCCUGUGAUCCUGAUUACUUUUUGAUUACAUUCUGAUUACAAUGAAAAAAAUCUUAAACUGUGUUUAUGGUCAAUAAAUGAACCUUUUUGUUAUUCUUAUUUGAUAAUUAUUUAAGAUAGUUUGGUCUACUUUAAAAAGCAUGUUAAUGCAUUUGUAUACUUCAGUAAAAAAUAAACUGUUACAGUAUUGAAAAGUCAUCAUUAAUGUUCUGAGAAUAUAUAUAUGUACAAUAAUUGUAUUAUAUGUCUCCCUUAGUGACUCAGAUGACACCUGCCAAUUGGACAAGAUCACCUUACAAUCAUUCCAUACACCACAUAUAAGAGGGGGUCUGGAUGGGGGGGGGGAUGGGGGUCUGUUAUUCUGUAAACAUUUAAUUUUCACCCCUUUAUCUCUAUUCUUCAAAAAAUAUAACCCCUUUUUUCUCUAAUCUUCAAAAAAUUAACCCCUUUUUUCUCUAAUCUUCAUUUUUUUUUUGCCCGUUAUUCUCUAAUCUUCAUUUUUUAAGGGCAUUAUUCUUUAAUCAUUUAACCCCAUCCACACCCUCAUAUAAUAGACAUGUUGCUUAUAGUAUUUGCUUGUAUAUAACAACAAAACUAAAUAUUGUUCACUGAUGCAUGAAAUGAGGCCAAGGUCAGAUGAAAAUUGUUUGAUAAAAAUGAGGACCUCAAGCUUGCAAGAUAUGCACAAACCAAAUAGAAUUAUCCUAUUACUCAUAUUAAGAGAGAAAUAAACAUUACAAAAAAUCCUAACUUUUUUCAAGUAGUCACUGAACCAUGACAAUAAGGUCAAGGACAUUAGACAUAUAAGGCAUCUUUAUACAAAGUAGGAAGCAUCCAGAUCUUCCAUCUUCUAAAAUAUAAAGCUUUUGAGUAAUUAGUUCAUGCUGCUGCCGACAACACUAUCUCUAUGUCAAGCUUUCUGCACAAGAAGUUGCAGGCUGGACAAAAAAAUUGUCAGAUAUAAGAAAAACAAAAUAAAUGCUUUACAAAUAAGUAUUGCAUUGCUAUUUCAAUACUAAUAUAUAUAUGUAUAUCAAUGAAUUCAUAACAAAAAUAUGGCACUUUUGUAAUAUGGAACACAAAAAAAUAUACAGUAGAUAUUUGCCAUCUUUAGACACCAUAUUUAAAACAUAUCCAUAUAAGAUGAGCAGUACAAUGAAUGGAAUAGUAUAAAGUCAGGACAAGAAAAUUGUAUUGAUUUUGGUGUGGUUAGUUGAAACUUCAGUAUUUUGCUUUGUGUUCAAGUGGUAGAGGAAUGAAAACAAUACUAUUCUAAGGGAGAUAAUCCCAAAGAAUUGAAAAAAAAUAAAGAAAACAUAGCUUUCCUUAUGAAAAUAUCAAAAGCAUGAAAAACAAACAAGCAUUGCAUUUGUAAAUGAAAUACAUAUGAAAUAUGUAUAUAAAUACAUUGUAAAUAUAAAC